rnacentral:rRNA from 1 species
AAGCGAGCGGCGGAUGGGUGAGUAACACGUGGGGAACCUGCCCCUAAGUCUGGGAUACCAUUUGGAAACAGGUGCUAAUACCGGAUAAUAAAGCAGAUCGCAUGAUCAGCUUUUGAAAGGCGGCGUAAGCUGUCGCUAAGGGAUGGCCCCGCGGUGCAUUAGCUAGUUGGUAAGGUAACGGCUUACCAAGGCGACGAUGCAUAGCCGAGUUGAGAGACUGAUCGGCCACAUUGGGACUGAGACACGGCCCAAACUCCUACGGGAGGCAGCAGUAGGGAAUCUUCCACAAUGGACGCAAGUCUGAUGGAUCAACGCCGCGUGAGUGAAGAAGGUUUUCGGAUCGUAAAGCUCUGUUGUUGGUGAAGAAGGAUAGAGGUAGUAACUGGCCUUUAUUUGACGGUAAUCAACCAGAAAGUCACGGCUAACUACGUGCCAGCAGCCGCGGUAAUACGUAGGUGGCAAGCGUUGUCCGGAUUUAUUGGGCGUAAAGCGAGCGCAGGCGGAAAAAUAAGUCUAAUGUGAAAGCCCUCGGCUUAACCGAGGAACUGCAUCGGAAACUGUUUUUCUUGAGUGCAGAAGAGGAGAGUGGAACUCCAUGUGUAGCGGUGGAAUGCGUAGAUAUAUGGAAGAACACCAGUGGCGAAGGCGGCUCUCUGGUCUGCAACUGACGCUGAGGCUCGAAAGCAUGGGUAGCGAACAGGAUUAGAUACCCUGGUAGUCCAUGCCGUAAACGAUGAGUGCUAAGUGUUG